UGAGGAACAUGACCUUCGGCGGGGGAUAGCCGGCCCAACGGCCGGGUAAUACCGCGUACGACCACUCGGGGACAUCCCUGAGUGGUGAAAGCAGCAAUGCGCCGAUGGAGUGCCUCGCGGCCUAUCAGCUAGUUGGUAAGGUAACGGCUCACCAAGGCGACGACGGGUAGCUGGUCUGAGAGGAUGGCCAGCCACAUUGGGACUGAGACACGGCCCAGACUCCGUACGGGGAGCAG
rnacentral:rRNA from 1 species